CGGAGGCCUUGAAUUCCUCCACCGCAAGGGCUCUGGCCUCCGAGAUCAGGACCGGAGUUUGCUCGACCAAGUGGGCGACCUCGGCCUCCGCCUUCCUCGCCGAUUCCUCCAAGAUCUACCUCUCCUCCUCCCGAGCUUUCUUCUCCCUUUCCAGGGCCUCCUGGAGGGCGGCUACUUCGGCCGUCUUUGCUUGGAGGCGAGCAACCUCCGCCCGACAGCGUUCCUCCACCUGGAGGAUGUCCCUCCUCGUGCGGCUCAUCGCCUCGAUAUAGGCGAGGAGCUGGUGCCCAAUCUGCAAAGACAGCUAGGGAAUCAGUACAAAGGCCGAAUAGCCAUGUAAAUGAAGAGUCGCUCACCUCAAGGAAGGACCCCAAAGAAUCCCAAGUCC
rnacentral:lncRNA from 1 species